AAAUGUACGGAUCGGCCUCACUUUGUUCCUUAUUUCCAAAGGCCAAAAAGGCCUCUUUAUUCCUUAAAAGUAAUAUAUUACUUAAAAAAAAACACUGAUUACGACACGACCAAGAGGAUUAGGAUUGGGACCCCAGCCUCAGAGUUAGGAUUGCGGUCCGGCCCCAGGAUUAGGAUUGGGACCCCCCCCAGGAUUGGGAUUGGGACCCGGCCACAGGAUUAGGAUUAGAACCCCGACCCUAGGAUAUGGAUUAGACCACCAUUCUGGAUUAGGGAUUAGAAGUGGUCCACCCCUGUUGAGAUUAGAGGAUUGCUGACCGGUACCCACC
rnacentral:lncRNA from 1 species